GACGGAGGGGGCAAGCGUUGUCCGGAAUCACUGGGCGUAAAGGGCGCGUAGGUGGCUUCGUGCGUCGGUGCUGAAAGCGCCGGGCUUAACCCGGCGAGGCGUGCCGAUACGACGAGGCUCGAGGCAGGGAGAGGGUAGCGGAAUUCCAGGUGUAGCGGUGAAAUGCGUAGAUAUCUGGAGGAAUACCGGUGGCGAAGGCGGCAUCCUGGACCGACAUUGACGCUGAUGAGCGAAAGCUAGGGGAGCAAACGGG
rnacentral:rRNA from 1 species